rnacentral:rRNA from 1 species
UGGGGAAUAUUGGACAAUGGGCGAAAGCCUGAUCCAGCCAUGCCGCGUGUGUGAAGAAGGUCUUCGGAUUGUAAAGCACUUUAAGUUGGGAGGAAGGGCAGUAACCUAAUACGUUUCUGUCUUGACGUUACCGACAGAAUAAGCACCGGCUAACUCUGUGCCAGCAGCCGCGGUAAUACAGAGGGUGCAAGCGUUAAUCGGAAUUACUGGGCGUAAAGCGCGCGUAGGUGGUUUGUUAAGUUGGAUGUGAAAUCCCCGGGCUCAACCUGGGAACUGCAUUCAAAACUGACAAGCUAGAGUAUGGUAGAGGGUGGUGGAAUUUCCUGUGUAGCGGUGAAAUGCGUAGAUAUAGGAAGGAACACCAGUGGCGAAGGCGACCACCUGGACUGAUACUGACACUGAGGUGCGAAAGCGUGGGGAGCAAACAGGAUUAGAUACCCCCGUAGUCCCUGAGCGGGCUGGCAAGGCGCAU